AUGUCCAACAUGGAGAAACACCUGUUCAACCUAAACUUAGUGGCCAAAGAACUGAACAGGAGUGCCAAAAAAUGAGGUAAGGAGGAAAAGCCCGAAAAGGCCAAAAUUGAAAAGGCCAUUCAGAAGGGCAACAUGAAAGUUGCGAGGAUACACGGCAAAAAUGCCAUCCACCAGAAGGACCAAGCAGUGAAUUUCUUGAGAAUGAGUGCACGAGUCAAUGCAAUGGCUGCCAGGGUCCAGAUGGCGGUGACAAUGGGCAAGGUGACCAAGUCAGUGGCUGGUGUGGUUAAGUCGAUGAAUGCGACAUUGAAGACCAUGAACCUGGAGAAGAUUUUCGACUUGUUGGACAAAUUCAAACACCAGUUUGAGACUCCGGAUGUCCAGACACAGCAAAUGGAAGACACCAUGAGCAGCACGACGACGCUCACCACUCCCCAGAGCCAAGUGGAUUGCUGCUUCAGGAAAUGGCAGAUGAGGUGUGCCUCCACCUCAGCAUGGAGCUUCCGCAGGGGCAGACUGUCUCGGUGGGCACAAGCAUAGCUUUGGUGGAACAGGAUGAACUGUCUCAGAGACUGCCCCACCUUCAGAAACAAGUGUGACUUCAGAACACACUCUGAUGUUUCCUGGCCAUAGCCACCCUUUAAAUGUUCUCUUUGUGUUAGAGAGAUAGUAUACCCUAGAAACUCUGAACAUGCCAGUAUGCUGAAAUGCCCUUCUACCUUUGGGUUUACAGCCCCUUCCAGAUAAAUUAAGAAAUUCAGUCUUUCUCCUCUCUUAGCUGGAUUCUGAAGUUCUGUAUAGCUCGUAAUGAUGGUAUUUUUAUAGCAGCCUUUUAACAGAACUAGUUAAUUUGGUGUAUGUGAAUCUUUCUCAAAAAUCUGGUCAUAACUGUAUUCAGUUUUCAGCACAGAAUGAUCAGAUUGAAGGUGGUUGGUUUUGAUUAUUAAUAUUAUUUAGUGUGAUUGAUAAUUUAGAGAAUGGCAGAUGGUGCAUAAAAGUUAAAGACGGGAAAGACUACUUAGUUUGGUUAUACAGCUAUAAACUCCAUUCAGUAUAGUCGGAGGACAGUGCUGUUUCUGUUUAUUGUUUGGGUUUUGGUUUUUGUUUUUGCCUUCACAGUGAGACUGCAAUUGACUGUUCUCAUGACAUAUAUUAUUAAUAAAUCUGGUCUCAUAACUUAUACUGAAAUUACCUUAGGACAUUUUUGCAUAAUACUCUCUUAAUGCUAUAUUCUAUAAAUUUUUCAUGUGAUAAUUGCGUAACUGGGAAAAAUGCCAAAUAACUUUCUUUAUUAUCUGGAAAAAUUAAAUUUGUUCAUUUAUAUUUUCUACUUACUAAAUUGAGUUCU